AUACGUAGGGGGCAAGCGUUGUCCGGAAUGAUUGGGCGUAAAGGGCGCGUAGGCGGCAUCACAAGUCUGGAGUGAAAUACCCGAUUUCAAGUUGGGUACUGCUUUGGAAACUGUGGAGCUUGAGUGCAGGAGAGGUCAGUGGAAUUCCCAGUGUAGCGGUGAAAUGCGUAGAGAUUGGGAGGAACACCAGUGGCGAAGGCGACUGACUGGACUGUAACUGACGCUGAGGCGCGAAAGUGUGGGGAGCAAACAGGAUUAGAUACCCUGGUAGUCCACACUGUAAACGAUGAAUGCUAGGUGUAGGGGGUAUCGACCCCUUCUGUGCCGCAGUCAACACAAUAAGCAUUCCGCCUGGGGAGUACGGCCGCAAGGUUGAAACUCAAAGGAAUUGACGGGG
rnacentral:rRNA from 1 species